rnacentral:rRNA from 1 species
GUUUUUUAUAAAAGUAAUUUAUUUAUUUAAUGUUUUAGUAUUUAGUAAAAAUUAAUUUAUAGAUUUAUAGUUUAAUAGUAUUGUAAAAGAAUUAAUUAGAUUUUUAAAAGAAUAUUUUUAGUACCUUUUGUAUCAGGGUUAAUUAAAAUUUUUAAUGUUUUUUUUAAUUUCUCAAAAUUUAUAGAGUUAAUUUUAUUAUUAAUUUAUUGUUUUAUAAAUAUUUAAAAAAUAAUAUUAGUUUUGAAAUUUAAUUCGUUAUAUUAUAUUUAGUUAUUUAAGAUUUAAAUUUAAUUUAAAAUUUUAAAAGUUAUAUUGAUUUUAUAUAUUAAUAUUUUAAAUUUAAAUUAUUUUAGGGAUAAGCUUGAAAUUUUUAUAUAAUAAUUUAUUUAUUUUAAUAAUUUAUAGGAAUAGAAAUUUUUAUUUAAGUUUGUAAAAAUUUAUUAUUUAAUUAAUUUUAAUUUAUUAUAAAUUUAUUUAUUUUUUUUAUUAAAUUUUAUUAAUUAAUAUUUAAUUAAUAGUAAUAAUGAUUAAAUUAGUAUAAUUUAUAUUUAUAAAUUAUGAAUUUGGCAAAAAUUAUUUUCAUCUGUUUAACAAAAACAUUGUAUUAAGUUUAAUUUAAUAUAGGAUCUGCUCAAUGAUUUAUUAAAUAGCUGCAGUAUUUUGACUGUGCAAAGGUAGCAUAAUAAUUAGUCUUUUAAUUGGGGACUUGUAUGAAAGAUUUGAUGAGAAAUAAACUUUAUUAUUUAUAUAAUUAAAAUUUUAUUUUUAAGUAAAAAAGCUUAAAUUUUUUAAAGGGACGAUAAGACCCUAUAAAACUUUAUAAAUGUAAAUUUUAAUUUUUUUGGAUUUAUAAAUAUUUUAAUUUUAUUAUUUAUUUUAUUGGGGUGAUAAAAAAAAUUAUUAAACUUUUUUUAAAAUUUUACAUUAUUUAAUGAAUAUUUGAAUUAAAAUUUUUAAUUAAAGGAAAAAGUUACUUUAGGGAUAACAGCGUAAUUAAUUUUUUAAGUUCAAAUUUAAAAAUUAGUUUGCGACCUCGAUGUUGAAUUAAGAUUAAUCUUAGGUGCAAAAUUUUAAGUAUUAGGUCUG